rnacentral:rRNA from 1 species
UACGUAGGGUCCAAGCGUUAUCCGGAAUUACUGGGCGUAAAGCGUGUGUAGGCGGGAGUUUAAGUGCAAUGCGAAAUCUUGUGGCUCAACCAUAUAGACUGUAUUGCAUACUGGACAGCUUGAGGACGUGAGAGGCAAGUGGAAUUGGUAGUGUAGCAGUGAAAUGCGUAGAUAUUACCAGGAACACCAAUGGCGAAGGCAGCUUGCUGGCACGUAUCUGACGCUGAGACACGAAAGCGUGGGGAGCGAACAGG